UAUCUGAGUUGUCUGGCAGAUGAAGGUCUGUCUGCAGAUGUUGAUGGUGAUUUGUGUUCAGAUGCUGCUGCUGAUGCUCCAGUGCUGAACAUCCUCCGUCCGUCCAGAGAAGAGCUGAGCUCCAGUAAACUCACUCUGGUGUGUCUGAUCAAUCACAUGUCUGGGGCUUUUGCUGAUGUGCGCUGGCUUGUGAACGGGAACUCAGUUACUGAAGGCGUCUUCACUGGAUCUGCUGAACAGCAGCCUGAUAAGAAGUUCAAGAUCAGCAGUUAUUUAAGCAUCGAGAGCUCAGAGUGGGACAAAGACACACCGCUGACAUGUGAAGCGACUGCUGCCUCAAAAACCACCAGCAAAAGCAUCAAGAAAUCUGACUGCAGCGACUGAACUGUGUGAUCUCCUCUUGAUUUAUGUCAGAGUCAUUCAGUUUGCUUGAGUAGAGUAGAAGAAAACAUGGAUAGAUACUAGUACAAAUAAAAAGUAUUAGUUGCCUCAUUUUCUGAAUGUCAUUUUAUAUUUGAAUGUACAUUAUUGUGCUUUAUAAACUCAAAUAAACUGCAUGUUA